ACCUGGGUGGCUGAGUCAGUUAAGCGUCUGACUUCAAUUCAGGUCACGAUUUCACGGUCUGUGAGUUCGAGCCCCACAUCAGGCU
rnacentral:tRNA from 1 species